rnacentral:rRNA from 1 species
AUGGAUGUGACCAGUGUUGAUCCCCAACAUUGGCAAGCAUUUGUGUUCAAGUUGAUCUGGAACAAUUUGAAGGGUUUCCUCGACACAAAAUCUUCAGCCAAGAUGAAUCGGCAAUGGAUGUACGGUAACCGACUCUCCGGCGAGUUCACUACGGGUUUGAAAGAUUUCCUCGUAGUGGCUAAUGCGAACAAGCAGGGGGGUUUUGUUAUCUGUCCAUGUGUUAUCUGUAAGAAUCAGAAGGGUUACUCUUCCUCAAGAGAUGUUCACAUGCAUCUGCUUCGGCACGGUUUCAUGCCAAGCUAUAAUUGUUGGACCAAGCAUGGAGAAAGAGGGGUUAUAAUGGAAGAAGAUGAAGAAGGGGAUGAUUUCAUCGAUGAAAGCUAUCUUGCUCAUUUCGGUGAUACUUUUAUGGAGGAUGCUGAAGGUGAAGGGGAAGGUGAAGAAGAGGCACGUGAUGAUCCCGUUGAUGAUCUUGGUCGGACCAUUGCUGAUGCACGGAGACGCUGCGAAACUGAAAAGGAGAGGGAGAAUUUGGAUCGCAUGUUAGAGGAUCACAGAAAGGCGCUGUACUCCGGAUGCGAUGAUGGUCUGAAAAAGCUGGGCUGCACACUGGAUUUGCUGAAAUGGAAGGCAGAGGCAGGUGUAGCUGACUCGGCAUUUGAAAACUUGCUGAAAAUGUUGAAGAAUAUGUUUUCAAAGGAUAACGAGUUGCCCGCCAGUACGUACGAAGCAAAGAAGGUUGUCUGCCCUCUAGGUUUAGAGGUUCUGAAGAUACAUGCAUGCAUCAACGACUGCAUCCUCUACCGCGGUGAAUACGAGAAUUUGAAUGAAUGCCCGGUAUGCACUGCAUUGCGUUAUAAGAUCAGACGCGAUGACCCUGGUGACGAUGUUGAGGGCCAGAAACCCAGGAAGAGGGUUCCCGCCAAGGUGAUGUGGUAUGCUCCUAUAAUACCACGGUUGAAACGUCUGUUCAGGAACAAAGAGCAUGCCAAGUUGUUGCGAUGGCACAAAGAGGACCGUAAGUCGGACGGGGAGUUGAGACACACCGCAGAUGGAACGCAAUGGAGAAAGAUCGACAGAUGGUUCAAAGAUUUUGCAGCUGACGCAAGGAACAUAAGAUUUGCUCUAAGUACGGAUGGCAUGAAUCCUUUUGGCGAGCAGAGCUCCAGCCAUAGCACCUGGCCCGUGACUCUAUGCAUCUACAACCUUCCUCCUUGGUUGUGCAUGAAGCGGAAGUUCAUUAUGAUGCCAGUGCUCAUCCAAGGUCCGAAGCAACCCGGCAACGACAUCGAUGUGUACCUAAGGCCAUUAGUUGAUGAACUUUUACAGCUGUGGGGUGGUGUCUGUGUGUGGGAUGAGCACAAACAAGAGGAAUUUGACCUACGAGCGUUGCUUUUCGUAACCAUCAACGAUUGGCCUGCUCUUAGUAACCUUUCAGGACUGUCAAAUAAGGGAUACAAUGCAUGCACGCACUGCUUACAUGAGACUGAAAGUGUACAUUUGCCAAAUUGUAAGAAGAACGUGUACCUUGGGCAUCGUCGAUUUCUUCCGAAAAUUCAUCCAGUAAGAAAGAAAGGCAAGCAUUACAACGGCAAGGCAGAUCACCGGCCGAAGCCUGCGGAACGCACUGGUGCUGAGGUAUUUGAUAUGGUCAAGGAUUUGAAAGUCAUCUUUGGAAAGGGUCCUGGCGGACAAUCAGUUCCGAAGGGAGCUGACGGGCACGCAGCCAUGUGGAAGAAGAAAUCUAUAUUCUGGGAGCUAGAAUAUUGGAAAGUCCUAGAUGUCCGCUCUGCAAUCGACGUGAUGCACGUUAUGAAGAAUAUUUGCGUGAACCUCCUAAGCUUCUUGGGCGUGUAUGGGAAGACAAAUGAUACAAAGGAAGCACGGCAGGACCAGCAACGUUUGAAAGACCCUGAUGACCGGCAUCCGGAAUGGUUUCAAGGUCGUGCCAGCUACGCUCUGACCAAAGAAGAGAAGGUCAUCUUUUUUGAAUGCCUGAGCAGUAUGAAGGUCCCGUCUGGAUUCUCGUCCAAUAUAAAGGGAAUAAUAAACAUGGCGGAGAAAAAGUUCCAAAACCUGAAGUCUCACGACUGCCACGUGAUUAUGACGCAAUUGCUUCCGAUUGCUUUGAGGGGGCUCCUGCCGGAAAAUGUUCGAGUAGCCAUUGUGAAGCUAUGUGCAUUCCUCAAUGCAAUCUCUCAGAAGGUAAUCAAUCCAGAAGUUCUACCACGGUUACAGAACGAUGUGAUC